CCUACGGGUGGCAGCAGUGGGGAAUAUUGGGCAAUGGGCGCAAGCCUGACCCAGCAACGCCGCGUGAAGGAAGAAGGCUUUCGGGUUGUAAACUUCUUUUCUCAGGGACGAAGCAAGUGACGGUACCUGAGGAAUAAGCCACCGCUAACUACGUGCCAGCAGCCGCGGUAAUCCGUAGGUGGCAAGCGUUAUCCGGAUUUACUGGGUGUAAAGGGCGUGUAGGCGGGAAAGCAAGUCAGAGGUGAAAACCAUGGGCUCAACCUGUGGCCUGCAUUUGAAACUGUUUAUCUUGAGUGCUGGAGAGGCAGACGGAAUUCCUGGUGUAGCGGUGAAAUGCGUAGAUAUUAGGAGGAACACCAGUGGCGAAGGCGGUCUGCUGGACAGCAACUGACGCUGAGGCGCGAAAGCGUGGGGAGCAAACAGGAUUAGAUACCCCAGUAGUC
rnacentral:rRNA from 1 species